GUGAUUGCUUCAGCAGCGCAAAUACUCAAAUUCAAAUGAUACAGAGAAGAUUAGCAUGACCCCUGCACAUGGAUGACACACAAAUUUGUCAAGUGUUCCAUAUUUUU